AAAGUCAAAACAAGAGUAGCAAUAUUAAUGUGAAAAAUGAUUUCUUACUUUUAAUUGUUGGAUAAACAGUUUAUUUCACCAAUUCGAAAUACUUACCACAUAUGGAAAAGUGUAUUGAAAUACAACGUGUAGUUAAUUUGCGUCUCUGCUUUGAAUCUGCGCAGUAGGUCUACUUUAAACAUACGUACAAGAUGCUCAAAGUGCUCUCAUAUAGUCACGCAUUGGAGCCGUAGUGAAGCUGCUGCGUCUGGUUGUACUGCCUGGUCCUCAGUCCAGCAUCUCGGCCUUCAGUCAGUCGUCUACUCAUCUUCAGUCUGCUGACCAUUUCAUCAUAAAAGAUGGACCACGCAUUGCUGUGAACCAGAUCUUAUGCUCUUCUACGCAGUGUUAAUUAGGGGAUCAGUGUGGACGCGGAGCAGCUCAGAAUGAUGUCCUCGUACUACCACCCUACCAAGGAGGCAGACAUGGCGGCCAUGACAGAGCCGCUCUGCCUGGAAAGAGAUGUGUGCAGGGUGAUCGAGCUGCUGGACCGGCUGCAGCGGAGUGGUGAGCUGCCUCCUCCCAAACUGCAGGCCCUGCAGAGAGUCUUACAGAGCAAAUUCUGUGCCGCCAUCAGAGAGGUAUAUGAGCAGCUGUAUGACACUCUAGACAUUGUUGGAGGACCAGAGGUGCGAGCACAGGCAACAGCCAAGGCCACAGUGGCAGCCUUUGCAGCCAGCGAGGGCCACGCCCACCCAAGGGUGGUGGAGCUGCCCAAGACAGAAGAGGGUCUGGGCUUUAACAUCAUGGGGGGCAAAGAGCAGAACUCCCCCAUCUACAUCUCCAGAGUGAUCCCUGGGGGGGUGGCCGACCGCCAAGGAGGGCUGAAGAGGGGAGACCAGUUGCUGUCUGUCAACGGCGUGAGCGUUGAGGGGGAGCACCAUGAGAAGGCUGUGGAGCUGCUGAAGGCAGCCCAGGGUUCAGUCAAGCUGGUGGUCCGCUACACCCCUAAGGUCCUGGAGGAAAUGGAGGCUCGCUUUGAGAAGAUGAGGAGCGCCCGGAGAAGACAGCAGCACACCAGCUACUCGUGAGGCUGCUUGUUAGUCUGCACGUACUCACCACUGUUAAUAUAUGUACGGGCACACAGGAUCUCUGGAGUCCAGGGGUUAGCUAAUUCAAUUCCUCCAUCCACCUCAUCGUCCAACCCUCCUCGCUCUUCUGUUCCAGUGGGAGGCAAGACCGUAGAUGAGAAGCAAAAAACCAAAGUAGCCUACCAACACCUGUUACAUGAACGUCUUCAUGAAGCCAACGCUGUAGUUUAGGAUUUUCUCCCCUCACUCUUUCCCUAUUUCUUAGAGAAAUGCAGAGUAAGCUUGUUGUCACGCCUGUAAUUUCACCUGCCCAGUGUAAAAUCAUUCUCAGCAUCCUGUUACAUAAGGGCAACAAACUCUUUAGUGUGUGUGGCCUAACUAGAACCUAGUGUUAAUAUUUUAUUUUACUGCAUUCUCAUGUAGUGCACUGCACUCUUCAGCAGUGUCCACUGUCUGCAGUUAGACCUCAGUAGCAGAGGAACCAUGGAAACUGACACCUACAGCCUUCACAGCCAUUUCUCCAUCAGAUGUCCCAGGUAGAGGGCUAACCAUUAGCAUUAUGAAGAACUGCACAUAAAUCAGUGGCUGGCAAGUGUCAACUUAGUCAAAGUUUUGAGAUUUUUUUUGUAUUCAUUUAUUUGCAUAAUUAUUCACGAAAUAAAGUCUUAACUGUGUAAAUUGAA